rnacentral:lncRNA from 10 species
GUUUAUGGAGACUUGGCUGCUUGUGGCGAUCUGGCCUGCCACAAUUGCAUGUUAUUUUAUAAAUUGCAACAAAUUUGAACCAUGCGAACUUCAAUGUGCCAACAAGUCUCUCUGCAGGAUGUCUUCCAUUUGGAUGCUGCCUUUGUUGGACUACAUAUCUCCAAAGACAAAAGAAAGAUAAAAGUUGAAAUAAUCCAACAGUUAUCCUACACAAAAGUAUGACAAAAUUACCGUUGCAGAAAUUGAACUCAUCAAGCCUGAACUUUUGACUUUGAACAAUUACAUGGAAGAGUGCCACCAUGGUGAACUGUCAGACCUGUACAGCAUCACAGCCAACUCUAUACACAAACAAGGGUGGGCUGUAUUCUGACCAUUAUUGGAAUAAAUUAUCCUGAUUACCUAAUGUCUCUUCACACCCACUAAAUUAUUUAUUAUUAUUAUAUUUUUACACUGCCAUCAAAUUAAAGUUGCUAAAACACAACUUUGCUCAUGUUCAAAAUUUCUAUAGUGUGCCUCAACAAUCACUAACUAAUCUUCAGAAUUAAUUACCUACUAAUUUGUUUUUGACAUAUUUAUAAACUUAAUUUCUUAUCAUAACUCAUGCCAAACCAUCCUGCUCUGAAUACUCACAACUUUCUAUGACCUUUGAUUUUCUGCCUUUUAUAAACCAGAGCGCCAUUAGUUCGGUCUGAAUGAGUAAUUUCCUCUGUAAGCAGCAGGACCCUCAGAGCUUAUAUUCUUCAAGGCAUUGGCUAAUGGGGGUUCCUCACACACAGCAAGUCUAACUGUGGCUCAGGCUUUCCCCUAACUGAUGUGCCAGCAGCAGAUUUCAUGUUUUUCUAGGCUCACCAGGAGAUAGAAUUUGCUUAUAUUAGUCUGUUAUAAAAUUUGUCAUUGUUUGUUAUUGAGAGGUAGAAUAAUCAAAGUAAAAUCUUCUUAUAUUCAAUGGAGGGAGUGGAAUUGUCCUGAGCAUGAAAGAAGAUGGAAAGCACCUUGUGAAAUCAUACCACAGUUGUUCAUA